GACGACUUUCUCAUUUUGGUACC
rnacentral:siRNA from 1 species